GUGGCCGAUCCCGAAGUGGACGAGGGCCCAGGCUGUGAACCUGGGAUGAGAGGGUUCGAGUCCCUCCGGUCACC
rnacentral:tRNA from 1 species